CCUACGGGAGGCAGCAGUGGGGAAUAUUGCACAAUGGGGGAAACCCUGAUGCAGCGACGCCGCGUGAGUGAAGAAGUAAUUCGUUUUGUAAAGCUCUAUCAGCAGGGAAGAAAGUGACGGUACUUGAGUAAGAAGCACCGGCUAACUACGUGCCAGCAACCGCGGUAAUACGUAGGGGGCGAGCGUUAUCCGGAUUUACUGGUUGUAAAGGGAGCGGAGACGGUAGGGCAAGUCUGGAGUGAAAGGCGCGGGCUCAACCCGCGGACUGCUCUGGAAACUGUAAGGCUGGAGUGCAGGAGAGGGAAGUGGAAUUCCGAGUGUAGCGGUGAAAUGCGUAGAGAUCAGGAGGAAUACCAGUGGCGAAGGCGGCUUACUGGACUGUAACUGACGUUGAGGCUCGAAAGCGUGGGGAGCAAACAGGAUUAGAUACCCUGGUAGUC
rnacentral:rRNA from 1 species